rnacentral:rRNA from 1 species
UGGUGGGCGGUGCUUAAUUAGCAGUCGACGGUGAACACGGAGCUUGCUCUGUGGGAUCAGUGGCGAACGGGUGAGUAACACGUGAGCAACCUGCCCCUGACUCUGGGAUAAGCGCUGGAAACGGCGUCUAAUACUGGAUAUGUGACGUGACCGCAUGGUCUGCGUCUGGAAAGAAUUUCGGUUGGGGAUGGGCUCGCGGCCUAUCAGCUUGUUGGUGAGGUAAUGGCUCACCAAGGCGUCGACGGGUAGCCGGCCUGAGAGGGUGACCGGCCACACUGGGACUGAGACACGGCCCAGACUCCUACGGGAGGCAGCAGUGGGGAAUAUUGCACAAUGGGCGCAAGCCUGAUGCAGCAACGCCGCGUGAGGGACGACGGCCUUCGGGUUGUAAACCUCUUUUAGCAGGGAAGAAGCGAAAGUGACGGUACCUGCAGAAAAAGCGCCGGCUAACUACGUGCCAGCAGCCGCGGUAAUACGUAGGGCGCAAGCGUUAUCCGGAAUUAUUGGGCGUAAAGAGCUCGUAGGCGGUUUGUCGCGUCUGCUGUGAAAUCCGGAGGCUCAACCUCCGGCCUGCAGUGGGUACGGGCAGACUAGAGUGCGGUAGGGGAGAUUGGAAUUCCUGGUGUAGCGGUGGAAUGCGCAGAUAUCAGGAGGAACACCGAUGGCGAAGGCAGAUCUCUGGGCCGUAACUGACGCUGAGGAGCGAAAGGGUGGGGAGCAAACAGGCUUAGAUACCCUGGUAGUCCACCCCGUAAACGUUGGGAACUAGUUGUGGGGUCCAUUCCACGGAUUCCGUGACG